AGAGUUAUCCUGGCUUAGGACGAACGCUGGCGGCGUGCCUAACACAUGCAAGUCGAGCGAGGAGAUCCUUCGGGAUGAUCCUAGCGGCGGACGGGUGAGUAACACGUGGGCAACCUGCCUCAUAGAGAGGAAUAGCCUUCCGAAAGGGAGAUUAAUACCUCAUAACAUUGCAGUUUCGCAUGGAACAGCAAUUAAAGGAGUAAUCCGCUAUGAGAUGGGCCCGCGGCGCAUUAGCUAGUUGGUGAGGUAACGGCUCACCAAGGCGACGAUGCGUAGCCGACCUGAGAGGGUGAUCGGCCACAUUGGGACUGAGACACGGCCCAGACUCCUACGGGAGGCAGCAGUGGGGAAUAUUGCACAAUGGGGGAAACCCUGAUGCAAGCAACGCCGCGUGAGUGAUGACGGCCUUCGGGUUGUAAAGCUCUGUCUUCAGGGACGAUAAUGACGGUACCUGAGGAGGAAGCCACGGCUAACUACGUGCCAGCCGCAGC
rnacentral:rRNA from 1 species